UACAGAGGGUGCGAGCGUUAAUCGGAAUUACGUGGGCGUAAAGCGCACGUAGGCGGGACUCUUAAGUCGGUGGUGAAAUCCUGGAGCUCAACUCCAGAACUGCCUUCGAUACUGGGAGUCUCGGAGUUCGGGAGAGGUGAGUGGAACUCCGAGUGUAGAGGUGAAAUUCGUAGAUAUUCGGUAAGAAACACCAGUGGCGAA
rnacentral:rRNA from 1 species